rnacentral:rRNA from 1 species
AUGGCGAAGAUUUCUAGUAGCACCGUUGUUCUCCUGGUGUUUCUCGUGUCAUCGUGGGGGGCAUUGCCGGUGCUGUCCCGUGGACAGCUACAGGAUGGAGGAGGCGGUAUCGGUGCUAAUAUUGGGCUUCAAAAGUCUAUCGGUGCUAAUGUUGGUGUUGGUGCGAAUGGAGGCGCUGGCGCUGGUGUUGGCGCCGGCCUUGGAGCAAAUGUAGGUGUUGGAGCAAAUGUAGGUGCCAAUGCUGGUCUUGGUGCCGGUGCAAAUGCAAACGGUGGUGCUGGUCUUGGUGUCAGUGCAAAUAGAUUUAUUGGUGCUGGUGUUGGUGUUGGUGCGAAUGGAGGCGCUGGUGUUGGUGCGAAUGGAGGCGCUGGUGUUGGUGCUGGCCUUGGAGCAAAUGUAGGUCUUGGAGCCAAUGCGGGUCUUGGUGCCGGUGCAAAUGGAGGUGCUGGUGUUGGUGCGAAUGGAGGCGCUAACGUUGGAGUUGGCCUUGGAGCAAAUGUAGGUGCCAAUGCCGGUCUUGGUGUUGGUGCACAUAAAGGUAUUGGUGUUGGUACUGGUGUUGGCAAAUGA